GUGCGAAGAUGGUGACAACACAUCUAGGUUUCUGUCUGUGCAGGCGUCUCAUUGCCAGAGUGAUGCAAGUUUCAGGAAGGGUUUAGACACACUAGCAGUCCUGUCCAAGACUGGAUGUGACUGCAACAUUGUCGAAAAAAGCUAAGUGUUUAAACAUUUACUGUACAAUCACUGUACUAUUGCACGAAACAACCAAAUUUUUAGGAAGAUGCUAAUCUUAAUCUGUUUUUGGUUUUGACGUUUUUCAGCAAUUGUGAAGAUGAAGACCGAAAGCCUGAGAAGAUAAAGCGUGUAAAAACACGAUGAGAACCUGCACACCAGGAUCUGGAGAUAUCCAGCCUGUCUGACGAGUCCAAGACUUGAUCAACUUCCUUCAUCUUAUAAUUGGAUGACCAAAUUAAUCUUAUUUAGGCCAUAUUGCAUAAUUUGUUUAUUAUUCUAAAUAUUAAGAAGGUAAAAUGAAUGUAAUGUAAUGUAAUGUGAGGAUUGUCAGGUUUGGUGGGGCGAGA